rnacentral:lncRNA from 1 species
CCAGCUGAACCAUUUCUUCUUCAUUUUCUUCGUUCUCUUCUCGGUUUCUUAUUUGCGUCGUUUUCUUUAUUUUUUUCUUUUUUGUUUCUUCAUUUCUUUUUCGUUUCUUCCAUCCUUUCUUCAUUUCUUUUUCAUUUCUUACAUCCUCGACCUAGAUCCACAGCCCUUGAGUCGACAGCAGAACAGGAUCUACUAAUUAAAGCUCCAUCCUCUUCGUCUUAACCUGAACGAGGUCCACAGCCCUUGCAUUUAGUGAAGAACAAGACCAACAGCAGCUGAGUUUCGGCUACU